UCAGCAAUCCACUCACUCCCCUAAACCUGUACAUUCUUGCUUCACCCAAAUCUGUGUGUCUGUCAUGAAUCGCACUGAAAACCUUCAAAACUCUCAAUAAAAUCAAAAUCAAAGUCAGCAAAACGCUCAGCAAUAUGUAUGCUUCCGAUGCCAUCGCUAUGCGUUCGGGAGCCUUGGAGCAAUCCAACAUCAUUACUAUGUUUGCCAUAGAGAACUCACCCCGCGAAUGUGUCCUACUUGUGGCAACGGAUUUUUCACCGAAGCCGGAUGUCUGGGCCAUUGGAACUAACCAAAAUCAUUAAAACCAAGAAUGAUAUCAACGGCAAGACUUCCCAUAUUGGAAAUUUCAUCGGCCGAAAAGGGCAUAAGAUUAAUCACAUGGGAAAAUAGUCUGCGGUCUUCAUAGGGUGUAUCCAUAAGACUCCACAGGUUUGUCAAUGCCUUCCCAAGUUUGUGAAGCUGCAAAGAUUGUAAAGAUGGGUAAAAUGCUCCUAGAAAACAGCAAAUGUUAUGGGUAAUAUAUGAGGAAGAUAAUUUUAAUUGUGCCUUCAGUAUAGUAUGUUUCUACUGUUUGAUAGUAGUGCAGCAAGUAUCAUCUAAUGGAUUUGGUCUUCACUGGCACCUCUAAUGAAUUAUUUUUUGUCUCUGACUUUGAUGUUUCAA